UACGGAGGAUGCGAGCGUUAUCCGGAUUUAUUGGGUUUAAAGGGUGCGCAGGCGGUCUGUUAAGUCAGCGGUCAAAGCCCGGGGCUCAACCCCGGCCCGCCGUUGAAACUGGCAGGCUGGAGUGCCGGAGAGGCAGGCGGAAUUCCUAGUGUAGCGGUGAAAUGCGUAGAUAUUAGGAGGAACACCAGUGGCGAAGGCGGCCUGCUGGACGGUGACUGACGCUGAGGCUCGAAAGCGUGGGGAGCAAACAGG
rnacentral:rRNA from 1 species